GUCAGCAGUGCUCUAGCAGCACGUAAAUACUGGAGUCGAGGACUGCCUGGCUGCUCUCCAGUAUUGCAUUGCUGCUUGAGUGAGGCUGGA
rfam:Alligator mississippiensis ScZkoYb_220, whole genome shotgun sequence.